UUGAUCGAAAAAAAUAGUUUUAACCGUUUAAGAAACGAAAACCAAAACAUUUGGUUACUUUUGUCAAUCUACCAUUUUAUUUAAAUAGUGUAGAAGUCGUGUCACGUAUAUAUCCACCGGAUCCGACGGUGGCGACGGCCGUUGCUGCCUCUGCUCGACGCAAGCCACCACAUGAGUUCGCCCUGUUGUAUUAUCGUUGGUGCCGAAAUCCUGAUCUCCUGAGACGCUGCUUGUUUGGAUAAAACCAUUUGAACAAGAAACAUCACAUCAUCACAUCAAGUUGCCAUUCAAUAAAGUGUUUGUCUAAAGAGAAAAAGGUAAGAGAGAGGAUAGCAAAUUUGAUGGUAAUUUUACUCUAUGAAGUUCAGAGUUCUGAAAGCAGCCCCCCCACCAGGAAAAGAUAGAAAAGAGAAAGCAAAACAAAAAGGGAAUGAUAAAUGAAGCCUUUUCAAGCUGCAGGUCACUCCCAACCCAACUAACAGUCAUCAUGCAACGCCCAACCUUCUACAGCUUCAAUGGCAGCUUUUGCUAGAGAGAUCAAAGUUAAGGCUUUGCUUGGCAGUCCCACCUACUUGUCUAAAACGAAUUGUGCCACUGCCACCAUCUAUGGAUGCUUGGUUGUUAAUCACUUAUUCACCGAAAGAAGAGUGAAUCAAUGUAGAUUUGGUUGUACGGAUGGCGACAAUCCUAAGGUGAGUUUUUAAACAAGAAAGAUUCUUAAAGACGACUAGUUACAUCUAUCUUUAUGCAUCACACACGAUAGUUUGCUACAUGAUAAAUAUUUUUAUAAAUAUUUAUUUUGUGUACUUAAUAAGGAUGAGAUGCAUAGAAAUAGAUUUAUAGAGAGGAUAAAUUGUAAAUUUGGUUGGUGUGAUUCGGAAAAAGUUAUAAUUUAGUCUCUGAUUUUACGAA